rnacentral:piRNA from 1 species
UACCCUACUUGGGUGAUUGAGGUUUGGU